rnacentral:lncRNA from 1 species
AGAUACACUACUCUGAGAUGGUCCUUUCUUCGUGUAAGAUGCAUCAACAGGAGAAGUACCACCAAGGUGUGGUAAACUGAAGCUUUCUUUCCCUGCACCCCUCAACUGUUCUUGAUGAGUUUUCCUCUCAUUCAUGUUGGGAGGUGUAGACACUGACUCCUGAUAUUUUGGGCUUACAUACUCCAAUUUUGUUGUGUUACACUCCAAUUUAAGGUUUUCAGCACUAGAUAUAAUGUUUGAGGGAGGUGUAGACGCUGACUCCUGAUAUUUUGGGCUAACAUACUCCAAUUUUGUUGUGUUACACUCUAAUUUAAGGUUUUCAGCACUAGAUAUAAUGUUUGAGGGACAUGAAACACCAACUGGCGUUGUUUCUGGAUUUUUCCUUCUAUAUUGUAAUACUCCACGUCCUGA